UCUACAUCUGAAUUGGGCUCAGAUUUUUACUGAACAUCCAGAACCAGAGUUGUUUUCUCGUUUGUUGUCUUCUUCCUUGUUAGCUUUUUAUUCACAACAGUCAACAGCUAGCUUCUUCUACUCACAGUCAUCACGAGAGCGAAUUGUCUGUUCUACCCACUGUUCUUCACUAGGAGUACAACAAGUGAGAACUCUCUCUCUCUCUCUCUCUCUCUCUCUCUCUCUCUCUCUCUUAAAUGGGAUUAUUGAUGUUGGAUUUGUUCAUAAGUUGAGAUUCACAAUAGUAGGAGUAUCAAUUGAUUAAAUAGAAUAAAAUGUUGGGGGUGUUCAGUUUUGGUUAUAGAUUCGAGGGUUUGAGUUUUUCUUGUUGAAACAUGUUAGUAGGUAGUUUCGGGAAGAUUGGAAAUUUCAGAAUUAAUAUGUUUCUUUUAUGUUGGAUAUUAACAUCUCCAUGGCAUAGAUUCAGAGAUAAACAUUUACACUAUGGGUUUAACUUGUCUCUAAAAAUAUAUGUAUUAGGACAUCGCAAUUCUGCACUUCUCUAUAUUGGCCUCUAGGUUAACUUGUCUAUAAUGGAAUGUUCUGAUUACUGGCAGAGUAAGCAUAUAUGGGGUUUGAGUGCAUUUUUUAAGAAUUUACAGUAAUUUUUUGGUUUUGAAUUGGUUCCCAGUCAUUACUAAACAUGAAUUGAUUGGAAUGUGUUACAGGUCUGAUUGUACCCACUUUUCUCGCAGAAAUAGAUUAUACUAGUACUUCAUGUUCUGCCUGCUGUUGAGCGAAGUGUUACUGGUGUGGUGGACUAUUGGGAAUGUAUUACCAAAGGUUUUAUCCGUUUAUAUUAACUUUGGUGAAUGGUGAUUUUGGAUUUUGAUCAGGACCAUCAGGUUUGUACAUGAACCUAUUCUGAAGAAAUAACAUGGCACUGCAAUAUAUGACUUGACAAGGAAUCCAAA
rnacentral:lncRNA from 1 species